UGUUAGGAAAGGAAUGUAUGUGUGCCUCAAGUUGAGUGGGGUUCCAGCUUACCAAGCUAUCCUUAUGAUUGCCUGCCUGUAAUCCCUAUGAAUACCAGCGCUGUAAAUCUCAGAGACAAGGCUGGCCAUCUGACCAGACGGACAAGACUUAACUUUGGAAUGAUCAACUGCUUUUGUUUCUCCUUGUACAAUCUGCUGACUGACAAGAAGAAAUUUUGUCAGUGUGUACUGGAAGAGAUUAGCUUCUGUGGUAUCUAAUGGCUGCCGUGGGCAAAGCGAGAAUUGCUGUCUAUCCCCAUGACGGAGCACUGGGUAAAGGUCAUGUCUACAAGUGAUGCCUUCAACCAGGGCCACCCUGGCCAAGAGUGCAGAUGGCAGAAAAUGAUCUUUGCAUCCAGGCAUAAAGCACUGUGACUGUCUACAGCUGUGUGUCCUCAGGCGUCUCUCCUCAGUCGGGCGUGAUGGAUGGAGAAAGCUACCUCGAGUGGACUUGACAACGGACUUGGGUCAGGAGACCUGACUGGGGCUCAGGUCACCAGCAUCUGUUAACAAGGAGUGGAUCCUGCUCCAGCAGAGCCAUGACAUAACUGCAGAGCCAGUCAACGUUUUGCCAUCACAGUCUGGGUCCCCAGGCUGGUGCCGUGACAGUGGCCUUGUGACAGAGUCUACAGAAGGAGAUUCAGCAAGCCAUGACAGGAUUUCAGAUCCGUAGAGAUACUCCAGAACUCGGACUGACAAGCUGCCCAUACCUGGAACAUUGCAGCUAAUCCUGGAAGGAAGAGGGAAAGGUCAGCGCAAUGCAUUCUUGGAAAGCAUUUCCAUGGAAGGGCACUGCACAUGCAUCCUGAACCAUCUGGUGAACGAUGCACAUCCUCAGCUGUACUUUGGGUUUUGAACAAGUGUAUAACAAGCAAAAGUACAAAGAAUAAAUAGUAAGUAAAUAAAAACAACAGAUAGAGGGCAAAGCAUUAUCAAAUCAGGCACUCACAGCAGGCAAUAGACAUGAUCAGAGUAGUCUGAUGAAGAGCAAAUUAAAGGCAACACCAUCAAAUCAGGAGGUUCCAAACAUACAGUAGAAAUCAGCUGGGGAAGUCGAGGCAGUUGGCUGGAGUUUCCAACUGAGCUGUCUCUCCAUGGACAGGCAUCCCAUGGCUGGACCUGAGCUUCUGGUUCCCAGUGCAUCAUGGGAUAAACAAUAGUAGCCUCUGUUGGGAAUGGUUUGCAUCCUAGCUGCGCUCCAGGACACGGUGUUUUUGUUCUCUGGCUGUUUUGCUUCUCUCUUCCCUCAUUCGCUGAACAGUUGGGAGCGGGCAGCCCCUCCCCGGAUAAGGGGUCUUAGAGGAUACUUUGAGACAAACAUGCUUGGUAUGAGAUGGUGGGGGUACAGGGCAUGGGGAGAGACAACCCAGCUUCUUAGCGAGCUCAAACCGCACAUGAGAAUUUACUAACACAAUGGACAUGACAACAUGUCUGCUUAGUAUUGUGUUGGCCAAAGCUAGUCCAGAGGAGUUCCGGGACGCCAUCAGGCACCAAGCGUGAUGGACCAUGUACUCACGCACUGGGUCAGAGGCAUGGCCGUCACAGACUCCCAUGAUGUACAAAGAGAAGGACCAGCUUGCAUUUCAUGUGGAUGGAUGUAGAGGCCCUAGAGCCUAAGACAGUACGACUGAAGAGCUAGCUUUCCUAGAGAAGGGUCAAAAAUUAAGAGGGGCUGAGGCAAUAGAGAAACCGAGGUUUUACUAUCCCGAUAAUCUUCACUGUCACUUCCCUGAAGUGAAAUGAAAACAGUGCAUUCUCAUGUCAGUGGCAUCUUCAAGACACGUCCCCUGGUACACCUUCUGAUUGGUUGAAUUGCUUCCCCUAAGCCCUUUAAGCUUCUUCUAUAUAGAAAGAAUAAUCCCGUUCAUAAAGUUAAACGGGGCUCUCCAACUGUCUCACAGCAAUAGAUUAGUAGGAGGAAAGAAAGGUUAAGGACCUCGGGCAUGCCUGCAGUUAUCCAGGCUUCCAUCUUCUCAGAGUCCACUCUAAUCCCAUCUUACUGAGGCAUAAACACAGCCCCCAGGGGCUUCCUGAAAAAGUGGGAGGAGCCAAAGGAACGGCCCCUGGUGCAUCCAUCCCAGAGGUCUUGCCAGCCUGGUUUUGGAGAGGCUAGUGAUGAGAAGUACAGAGACAGGAAAGCCAGCACAUUUACAUGCAGAGCAGAAGUCAGGACUUCUUAAUCAGGUAAGCCAAACCAACAUGAUGAAUUCAUUGCUUAAUCCUGAACCACACUAACCUGCCGAGGCACAGCAGACAUACGUCAAGGCCAGAUCCUCUAAAAAAAAUGAAGGAGAGACUAGUUGGUAAUCCCUUUUCCUAUGAAAUAUACUUCUGCCCGUAGGCCCUGGGUGAUCUUUGCAUCAUGCCAGAUGGUAUUCGAUUUCUCUUGAGGUUAUAGUUUAUGUCAAAAGAAAUAGACUUCAUUUAGAUGAGUUCUGAAGGAAGCACAGGAGAGUCCCAGAGCGGUGGUUUUAACACUGGCCUCAGAUGCCUCGGCAGCCUGACCUCUGCCCAGCACAAGAAUGGCUUCUGUCGGGGCCAUCAGAAUAGUCUGGGGUUUGCUGUCGAGGAUGCUCUUGUGCUGGCUUUCUUCCCAUACUGUACCAUGGAGCAUGUGAGAGGACCUGAGCAGGUCUGGCAUCUGUGAAGCCCCCUACCCCACAAACAAAAGAAAGUGCAGAAAAAAGCCGUGGAAUAGAAGCUUGAAACCGGGCUGGAAUUCUUAGUUCUCAGUGACGGCAAUUUGUGCCCUUGGGAAAAUAUGUCGAUCUUAAAACUGAAAUGCAUUUAGUUGUCACAGGAACCACUAAGCGAGGCCAGCAUCAUCAUCUGUGCUCCUGACACUUUGCUGUGGAAACUGGCUAGCUGUCAAACAAUUUUAGCCCUCCUGCCGCACAUUUUUCCUGAUAGAAGGUCAAUAAUGCUGUUUCUAAAUGAUAACGUGGCCAUGCUUCCGAGCUGCCUGUGGAUCUUAUCGGUGAAAGCCUGCUUACCUCACUGAAGCUGUCAUCUCAUGCUGUCUACAGGCUGUCUCCCACCUCAUAGCACCUGACUUCCCAUGACACACCUGUGUAUGGGUGCUAUCACCAAUACUGGGAAUACAGAGGCAGUCAGAUGCCUUCUCUUCCUUCAAGGAGCUCUCUGUCCAGUGAGUGAGUUAGACAGACAAUUGCAGGAUGUAAUGUGUGAGAUGUGUUACUGAGUGUCUAUUGAGACAUCUCUGUUAUAGGCAAGGCAGACCCAGUAGCAUGAGGGAGCAGUAGAUACAGAAGAAUUUAGGAAAGAUGUGUCUUGACAUAUGUUUAUUUUUUUAAGUGUGCAAAGUAUAGCAGGUACGUGUGAGACACUCGGAGGGAUGUACAAUAAGUCAGAGACACAUGGUGGUUAUAUUUGUGUCACAAUGUUUGCACUCUGGACACAUGCCAACACUGAAUUUCUGAGCCCCUCUUUACUUGAGUGAGGCCACUUGACUAGUUUGGCCUCAUGAAUAGCAGGCAAAAUUGAAGAACCAGGGCCAGCGGAGGUGGCCCAGCAGGUGAAGAUGCCACUGCCUUACCCCCGAAUUUGAGGGCCCACAUGGCAGAAGGAAUUCUUACUAGUUGUCCUCUGGUCCCCAGUUGCUCAUUGUGGGACAUCACACACACACACACACACACACACACACACACACACACACACACACACACACAUAUAUAUAUACACAUACACACAGAGAAAAGUAGGUAGAUAAAUAAUUUUUUUGAAGUGAAGAAUCACUCUGAGCCCAUUCUAGCCCAUCCAAGACUGCCCAGCAUCUCCCUGAGACACCCCCCACCACACACAGCAAACCCAGCAAUUUUUAGAGAUGGGGCAUUGCUGUCCUUGCAUGACCAUGAUGAAGGGAACAAUCAACUCUUGGGACACAUGUCAGUCUUACGUGUGAAAAUGUAAUUGCAUUUUCCCCAAGUCACUGAGAUUUGAAUCUUCUUUUUAAAAGUUCUAUUUUUUGAGCAGAAUGACAUAAUCUGUUUCUCAAAUUCAGUGCAGAAUUGGCUGAUGUCCCUUCCUUGUAUCCACCAGGGACUACUUUCCUUAGGCUAAACAUCUUAGGUGAAAUCACUUGCUUUUAGUGUUAGCAUUUGACAAGUGGAGUUCUUUGGCUCACCUAUGCUCCUACCUUCCAUUCACUGGAUCCAAGUUUGAUGAUCUAAGAUAAGGAGAAGAAAAACUUAUUCCAUUGUUCAGAGCGGGGAGUAAUGCAGCUCCAUGCAGCUGGGGGUCAUAGGCUGUUCAUAGGUCAACAGGUUGUUAGAUGUAUUGUUAGGAUUGGAAUUUGUGCACAUAAAACAUUAGAAAAGGGGUGUGUGCAGAGCCCAAACCAAGUGGAAUCUCAGGCUACUAAACAAUUCCAUAGGUUUGUCUUCCUCACUUGCAGAUUAUUUUCUUCCAGGUAGUGAUGCAGAUGUUUGGACAGAACAUAGAAAAUAACAGUUCCUUUGGGAAGUUGUGAAUUGACAAUUGGUAAACAGAAGAUGCAUGUCAACAACCGUGAAUCUGUAAUGGGUGCAUGGGAAGUGUAGAGUAGACAGUGUAGAAAUAGAAGUGGGUGCCACCUUCGAGCUUACACAAGCAUUCCAGGGAGAGCAAGGUGAUGCCUAACUUGGAGAGAGUGAAGCGAAUUCAAGGGAAGACAAAGUCUCAAAAACAAGCAUUUAAGAAGUUAGCACGAUAAAGUUUUGCUGUUGAACAGUUGGAAGAAUGAGUGGAGAGAGGGUUAAUGGAUAACGAGGUGGUCUGACACUUAAACAGUAUGACUACCUAUCCUGAUCUGUAUGGGAAGAGAAAACACUCAAACUUUAAGAGAGAACUACAGGAGCUUGGAUGUGAGGGAAGCCAUCAUUUUGGUGUUUUUUUCUACCAUGACCUCAUUCAUCAUUCAACCUCUGGGGACUGUGAAGCUCUCAUUUAGUAACAUAGUCUAUACAUUUUCACUUAAAACAAAACAAAGCAGAACAAAACCCAGGCAAUCUGUCUUCUUGCCAAGUCACACCACAGAUAAUCAAUGUUUUUCAUUAUUAUUAUUGAAAAAAAGGUUCAAAACUCUAAGAGACAGAUAUGAAUAAGAAGGGUCUCAAGUUUGACAUUUUCUUCUCAGAACGCAGCAUGUCCUAAGUAGCUCUCUCUGGUGCUUGCUUCCCUGCUCUCCGCUGAUGAGAUUUCUGUACUUGAGGCUUCAGUGAGCAGACCUCCAGGCCUGCUCUCUCUCAGGAUAAGAGAGACUGGCCCUGUACACCUCUAUAGACAUAUGCUGUUUAUUGCUUUUCUUUUGUGAGGCGACCUGCUUUCUUUUUCUGUAUUUGGGAUGAGAAAUAGUGAUUAAUGCCAAUGAUCACUUUAAAAUUAUAUUUGAUAGUCAAAGAACUACAGGCAACCAAAGAUGAGAGUGGGGAAAAUAGUCCUCCCCAAUGAUGAGUCCACUAAACAUUGAUUAUCCAAUAUUAAGUGGUAAGUCCUAAAAUCAUGUAACUACAAGUAACACUAUAUGGACUGAGCAGCUUGUAUUUAUAUAUUUAGGCAUCUAUAACUUUAACACCUAAAGAAAAAAAGGGUAUUGCUUCA